rnacentral:misc_RNA from 1 species
CGAAAAUAGACGAGAACAUUAAGCAAAAACUCUUAGUUUUGAAAUAAAUCAACAAUCCCAAGGGUUGUCACAUACAUCAAAAUCGAAAAUCCAUAUAGCAAAAAAAAAACUCUAAAUUACCGUUCAUUCGACAAAAAGAAAAUCUGAUAGAGCAUUGCUAAACAUUAAAAUCAAUCGCCUCCAGCCUUGUUGUAAACGUAGGUGAGCCCACACUUACCACAGUAGUGACGGUCAAAAUGGUUAGCCAUAAAAGUUCCAGCACCGCACUCAGCAUUAGGGCACUCCUUACGAAGCCUCUGAACCUUUCCAGUGUCAUCAACCUUAUAGAACUGCAACACAGCGAGCUUAACCUUCUUCUUCUUGUGCUUGAUC